AGCUCUGUUGUAAGGGAAGAAAAAAUAAAGUAGGAAAUGACUUUAUCUUGACAGUACCUUACCAGAAAGCCACGGCUAACUAUGUGCCAGCAGCCGCGGUAAUACAUAGGUGGCAAGCGUUAUCCGGAUUUAUUGGGCGUAUAGGGUGCGUAGGUGGUUGUGCAAGUCUGAGGUCAAAGUCUGGAGCUCAACUCCGGUUCGCCUUGAAAACUGUACUACUAGAAUGCAAGAGAGGUAAGUGGAAUUCCAUGUGUAGCGGUGAAAUGCGUAGAUAUAUGGAAGAACACCUGUGGCGAAAGCGGCAUACCAGCUUGUUAUUGACACUGAGGCACGAAAGCGUGGGGAGCAAAUAGGAUUAGAUACCCUAGUAGUCCACGCCGUAAACGAUGAGUACUAAGUGUUGGGGUAACUCGGCGCUGCAGCUAACGCAUUAAGUACUCCGCCUGAGUAGUAUGCUCGCAAGAGUGAAACUCAAAGGAAUUGACGGAGGACCCGCACAAGUGGUGGAGCAUGUGGUUU
rnacentral:rRNA from 1 species